GAGGAAUAUUGGACAAUGGGGGAGAUUCUGAUCCAGCCAUGCCGCGUGYAGGAAGACUGCCCUAUGGGUUGUAAACUGCUUUUAUAGAGGAAGAACCCUUUUUACGUGUAGAAAGCUGACGGUACUGUAAGAAUAAGGAYCGGCUAACUCCGUGCCAGCAGCCGCGGUAAUACGGAGGGUCCAAGCGUUAUCCGGAAUCAUUGGGUUUAAAGGGUUCGUAGGCGGAUUAAUAAGUCAGAGGUGAAAUACACUAGCUCAACUAGUGAACUGCCUUUGAUACUGUUAGUCUUGAGUUAUAUUGAAGUAGAUAGAAUAUGUAGUGUAGCGGUGAAAUGCAUAG
rnacentral:rRNA from 1 species